rnacentral:rRNA from 1 species
UACGAAGGGGGCUAGCGUUGCUCGGAAUCACUGGGCGUAAAGGGCGCGUAGGCGGCGCGGGAAGUCCAUGGUGAAAGCCCGAGGCUCAACUUCGGGUCGGCCAAGGAUACUCCCGGGCUCGAGCACUGUAGAGGCAGGUGGAAUUCCGGGUGUAGCGGUGGAAUGCGUAGAGAUCCGGAAGAACACCGGUGGCGAAGGCGGCCUGCUGGGCAGUAGCUGACGCUGAGGCGCGACAGCGUGGGGAGCAAACAGG